rnacentral:rRNA from 1 species
UACAGAGGGUGCGAGCGCUAAUCGGAAUUACUGGGCGUAAAGCGUGCGUAGACGGUAGCGUAAGUCAGAUGUGAAAGCCCCGGGCUCAACCUGGGAAUUGCAUUUGAGACUGCUCUGCUCGGGUGCGGAAGAGGGAAGCGGAAUUUCCGGUGUAGCGGUGAAAUGCGUAGAUAUCGGAAGGAACACCAGUGGCGAAAGCGGCUUCCUGGUCCGACACCGACGUUCAGGCACGAAAGCGUGGGGAGCAAACAGG